rnacentral:rRNA from 1 species
GACGAACGCUGGCGGCGUGCCUAAUACAUGCAAGUCGAACGCUUCUUUCCUCCCGAGUGCUUGCACUCAAUUGGAAAGAGGAGUGGCGGACGGGUGAGUAACACGUGGGUAACCUACCCAUCAGAGGGGGAUAACACUUGGAAACAGGUGCUAAUACCGCAUAACAGUUUAUGCCGCAUGGCAUAAGAGUGAAAGGCGCUUUCGGGUGUCGCUGAUGGAUGGACCCGCGGUGCAUUAGCUAGUUGGUGAGGUAACGGCUCACCAAGGCCACGAUGCAUAGCCGACCUGAGAGGGUGAUCGGCCACACUGGGACUGAGACACGGCCCAGACUCCUACGGGAGGCAGCAGUAGGGAAUCUUCGGCAAUGGACGAAAGUCUGACCGAGCAACGCCGCGUGAGUGAAGAAGGUUUUCGGAUCGUAAAACUCUGUUGUUAGAGAAGAACAAGGACGUUAGUAACCGAACGUCCCCUGACGGUAUCUAACGAGAAAGCCACGGCUAACUACGUG